ensembl:lncRNA
UUUUUAUUGUAGUAUAUUUUAUUGACAAAUAAUACUUAUAACUACUCAUGAGACAUAUAAUGAUGUUUUGAUACAUAUAAUAUACAAUGAUCAGAUCAGGGUAAUCUGCAUAUCCAUCAUCUCAAACAUUUAUUAUUCCUUUGUAUUGGGAACAUUCAAUGUCCUCCUUCUAGAUAUUUGAAACGAUAUAAUAUACUGUUAACUACAGUUGUCCUAUAGCGUAGCAUUAGUCCAUUCUCAGACUCCUAUAAAGAACUACCUGAGAUUGGGUAAUUUAUGAAGAAAAGAAGUUUAAUUGACUCACAGUUCCACAGAUUUAACAGAAAGCAAGACUGGGAGGCCUCAGGAAACUUACAAUCAUGGCAGAAGAUGAAGGGGAAGCAAGCAUGUCUUUAUCAUGGCAGAACAGGAGAGAGAAAGGGAGAGCACAUGAAGGGGGAGGUGCUACAUACUUUUAAACAACCAGAUCUUGUGAGAACUCUAUCAUGAGACAGUACUAGGGGGAUGGUGCUAGACCAUUAGAAAGUGCACCCAUGAUCCAAUCACCUCUCACCAGGUCCCUCCUCCAAUUCAGCAUGAAAUUUGGGUGAGGACACAGUUCCAAACCAUAUCUCUUGGCAGAUUAUUAAUUUAUCUCCUAUUUUUGAAGGACAGUUUCACUGAAUUUAGAAUCCUCAGUAGACUUUUUUUCUUCUGCGUAUUAGAACAUAUCAUCUCCUCAAAGGUUUGCUGAACAAUCCACUGAUUAUCUUGUAGAAGAUUCCUUGUACAUGACAAAUUAGUUUUGUUUUGCUACUUUCAAGGUUCUCCUUUGUCUUUGGCUUCCAACAGUUUUAUUAUACGUGUUUCAGUGUGUGUCUCUGGGUUAAUCUAUUUUGAAGUCCGUUAGGCUUUCGGAUUUGCAGAUUCAUAUUGCUCAAAUUUGAGAAGGUUUUAGCCUUUAUUUGUUUAUGUAUUUAUUUUUGAAUUAGCUUUCUGACUCUCUCUCUCCAUCUGGGACUUCUAUCAUGCAUACAUUAGUCCAACUGAUGGUGUCCACAAUGUCCCUUAGGUUUUGUUCACUUUUAUUAACUCCAUUUUAAUUUUGCUGCUAAAACAAUAAUUUCGUAUAACUUAUCAUGUUCACUCAUUCUGAAGUUAAUGUAAAAGGAUUAGGGACCAUGGGCCUAGAAUCACUUACCUGAAGCUACGGGGACUGCUCAAACUCAAUCUCAUGUAUACUGGUUCCAAAUGGAAUGCUGAUGUGCACAUGCAAUUUAAAGACAUGCAGGGGCCAGUCCGGGCGUAGUGGCUCACGCCUGUAAUCCCAGCACUUUGGGAGGCCAAAGCAGGUGGAUCACGAGGUCAGGAGAUCGAGACCAUCCUGGCUAACAUGGUGAAACCCCAUCUCUACUAAAAAAAAAACACACAAAAAAUUAGCCGGGCAUGGUGGUGGGCACCUGUAGUCCCAGCUACUCAGGAGGCUGAGGCAGGAGAAUGGCGUGAACCUGGGAGGUGGAGCUUGCAGUGAGCUGAGAUCGUGUCACUGCACUCCAGCCUGGGCAACAGAGUGAGACUCUGUCUCAAAAAAUAAAAAUAAAAAGUAAUAGUAAAAAUUUAAAAAAAGACAUGGAGGGGCCAACAACACCCAAUUCAUGAUGGAAAUCUCUGCUCACAUGCUAAUUUGGUAGCCCAUGAUUAAUUGCUCUGUCUCCACUAAAACCACUAGCAAAACCAAAAGCUGCAUCUCAAAAGAAGUGUAAGUAUAUGUUAAGAAUGGCAGAGCUUUGCCCCCAAAUCCUAUAUAUCUGUGUUUUAAUUUACUAAGUGGGGCCAGCCAAAGGCUCAACCAUCACUAUCUUUCAUUAACAUUUUAAUCACUUUUGACUCUUCUGGGUCAUAGGGUCCUGAUGGCAGAGAAACUUACAUGGCAGCUGGGACACACUGCACAGACUUAUCUUGGGUGAGUCAAAAUGUUUUCAGGUCACACAAAAUAGGCAAAAUAGCACACCUCAACGAGGAUUAAGUAGCAUACAAUAGUGCUAGUGGCCCACUAGGCGUUGUGAUGCUAUUUUUUUGGUUGUAGGAAGGGCUAUAUGCUACUUGACCUACACCCAGAAGGGAUAUCUCAAUAGGCCUACAUCAGUGAACUUGUGGAAAUUUCACCAAGGCAAAAGACCCAUGAAUUAUUAUAAGAUUUAUUUCUUCCCUCUGAUACGUAUGUAUCUUACAAAUAUGCCUAGAUUCCUUCCUGCUUCCUUCUCACCAGGCCCAAUCAUCGAAAUAUAAAUGUGCCAUUUCACAAUAAGGAGUUAGUCAUUGCCAAGAUGUUUGAAUAUUUCUCCUUUUGACUACAUAGUCACACGGGUUAAUGGUUGUAGGGCCUUGUGAAUUACUCUGCAAUGUAUCAGGGUCCAUCCUAAUUCAG